AUUGAACGCUGGCGGCAGGCCUAACACAUGCAAGUCGAGCGGAUGAAGGGAGCUUGCUCCUGGAUUCAGCGGCGGACGGGUGAGUAAUGCCUAGGAAUCUGCCUGGUCUUGGGGGAUAACGUCCGGAAACGGGCGCUAAUACCGCAUACGUCCUGAUGUAGAAAGUGGGGGAUCUUCGGACCUCACGCUAUCUGAUGAGCCUAGGUCGGAUUAGCUAGUUGGUGGGGUAAAGGCCUACCAAGGCGACGAUCCGUAACUGGUCUGAGAGGAUGAUCAGUCACACUGGAACUGAGACACGGUCCAGACUCCUACGGGAGGCAGCAGUGGGGAAUAUUGGACAAUGGGCGAAAGCCUGAUCCAGCCAUGCCGCGUGUGUGAAGAAGGUCUUCGGAUUGUAAAGCACUUUAAGUUGGGAGGAAGGGCAGUAAGUUAAUACCUUGCUGUUUUGACGUUACCAACAGAAUAAGCACCGGCUAACUUCGUG
rnacentral:rRNA from 1 species